rnacentral:lncRNA from 1 species
AUGAGAUGCCCAACAGCACAGGCUGAGAAAGGUUAUGAUAAUCACAAAUUGGAGACUGUCUCUACACCAGCGGUAUGUAAAUAUUGGAUUAAAAAGUAUCGCCGCCAGGUAAAUUAUGCUCCAUUGGCUGUAUCGAGGGGUCAAUUACGAACUUCAAACUGUCCAGAUCAAAACGUACGCAUGCAGUUGUAUCGGGGCAAUGGAAUAAAAGUUCUUUUGUUGAAUGGAUUGACCAUUGCUGCCUAG